rnacentral:rRNA from 1 species
UAGAGUUUGAUCCUGGCUCAGAACGAACGCUGGCGGCAGGCCUAACACAUGCAAGUCGAACGAUAUAGUGGCAGACGGGUGAGUAACGCGUGGGAACGUACCUUUCGCUAAGGAAUAGCUCCGGGAAACCGGUGGUAAUACCUUAUACGCCCUUAGGGGGAAAGAUUUAUCGGCGAAAGAUCGGCCCGCGUUGGAUUAGCUAGUUGGUGAGGUAAUGGCUCACAAAGGCGACGAUCCAUAGCUGGUCUGAGAGGAUGAUCAGCCACACUGGGACUGAGACACGGCCCAGACUCCUACGGGAGGCAGCAGUGGGGAAUCUUGCACAAUGGGCGAAAGCCUGAUGCAGCCAUGCCGCGUGAAUGAUGAAGGCCUUAGGGUUGUAAAAUUCUUUCGUCAGGGAUGACAAUGACCGUACCUGAAGAAGAAGCCCCGGCUAACUUCGUGCCAGCAGCCGCGGUAAUACGAAGGGGGCUAGCGUUGUUCGGAAUUACUGGGCGUAAAGCGCACGUAGGCGGACUUUUAAGUCAGGUGUGAAAUCCCGGGGCUCAACCUCGGAACUGCAUUUGAAACUGGAAGUCUUGAGAUCAGGAGAGGUUAGCGGAAUACCGAGUGUAGAGGUGAAAUUCGUAGAUAUUCGGUGGAACACCAGUGGCGAAGGCGGCUAACUGGGCUGAUACUGACGCUGAGGUGCGAAAGUGUGGGGGAGCAAACAGGAUUAGAUACCCUGGUAGUCCACACCGUAAACGAUGAGAGCUAGUUGUUGGCAGGCAUGCCUGUCGGUGACGCAGUUAACACAUUAAGCUCUCCGCCUGGGGAGUACGGCCGCAAGGUUAAAACUCAAAGAAAUUGACGGGGGCCCGCACAAGCGGUGGAGCAUGGUGGUUUAAUUCGAAGCAACGCGCAAAAUCCUUUACCCUACCCUUGACAUGUCCAGUAUGGAUUUCCAGGAAGAAUGGAUUUCCUUCCAG